rnacentral:rRNA from 1 species
UUCCGGUUGAUCCCGCCGGAGGCAANUGCUAUGGGGGUCCGACUAAGCCAUGCGAGUCAUGGGGCGCCUUGCGCGCACCGGCGGACGGCUCAGUAACACGUCGGUAACCUACCCUCGGGAAGGGGGAUAACCCCGGGAAACUGGGGCUUAAUCCCCAUAGGCCUGAGGUACUGGAAGGUCCUCAGGCCGAAAGGGGCUCUGCCCGCCCGAGGAUGGGCCGGCGGCCGAUNAGGUAGUUGGUGGGGUAACGGCCCACCAAGCCGAAGAUCGGUACGGGCCAUGAGAGUGGGAGCCCGGAGAUGGACACUGAGACACGGGUCCAGGCCUACGGGGCGCAGCAGGCGCGAAACCUCCGCAAUGCGGGCAACCGCGACGGGGGGACCCCCAGUGCCGUGGCAUCGCCACGNCUUUUCCGGAGUGUAAAAAGCUCCGGGAAUAAGGGCUGGGCAAGGCCGGUGGCA